rnacentral:rRNA from 1 species
AGUGAACGCUGGCGGCAGGCCUAACACAUGCAAGUCGAGCGGCAGCGCGGGGGCAACCCUGGCGGCGAGCGGCGGACGGGUGAGGAAUUCGUCGGAAUCUGCCUUUUUGUGGGGGAUAACGUAGGGAAACUUACGCUAAUACCGCAUACGUCCUACGGGAGAAAGUGGGGGACCGCAAGGCCUCACGCAGAAAGAUGAGCCGACGACCGAUUAGCUAGUUGGUGGGGUAAAGGCCCACCAAGGCGACGAUCGGUAGCUGGUCUGAGAGGAUGAUCAGCCACACUGGAACUGAGACACGGCCCAGACUCCUACGGGAGGCCGCAGUGGGGAAUAUUGGACAAUGGGCGCAAGCCUGAUCCAGCCAUGCCGCGUGUGUGAAGAAGGCCUUCGGGUUGUAAAGCACUUUUGUCCGGAAAGAAAUCCCUGGAGCUAAUACCUUCGGGGGAUGACGGUACCGGAAGAAUAAGCACCGGCUAACUUCGUG